GUGCUCACUUUGGCAGCACAUAUACUGAAAUUGGAAUGAUACGGAGAAGAUUAGCAUGGCUCCUGGGAAAGGAUGACAUGAAAAUUCAUGAAGCUCUUCCAUAUGUU
rnacentral:snRNA from 1 species